rnacentral:lncRNA from 1 species
ACCCAUCUUCUGUUCUCAGAGCUGAAGAUCAACACUGCUGAAGCUCUGUCUGCUCUUGCUGUCUCACAAGGACCGGAAGAGGAUGAAACACCAGUCAGUACCGGGGGAAUUGCAACGGAAAAAUAUUUUUCCAUUUCGGUCAAGUCGCCAUCGGGAAAUCAUUCAGACUCAAUAUUGAGACUGAUACAGGGCGGUGAGUGGCAUUUCUUGAGCAGGCUUUUCUGUUUGCAGAGAAAUGCCCGCCCUUUGCGAACAAUCAGCACCAUUCAGCCUGGCAGGGUUGACGGAGCUUGGGGCAGGCCGCUGAUAGAUUUCAUCUGCUUCUGAAACUCCGUGGUUUCGUACAGGAACACUGAAAAAGAGACUAGAAACAGGAAGUGGAAAAAAAAAACAUUUCUACCUAAUGGAAACUACCUUUUGUUCAUCUGCACCUGCAUUCCUGUUAAACAUUUAAAUUAGCGCAGGUAUCUACUUUUCUAGGGACUAUCCCCAGAUGAUGCUGAGAUCCAAAGUCCAGGUCUCUGCUGCAGCAGUACUCUGAUACACUGAACUCUGAUACAGCACUACUCUGAUACACUGAACUCUGAUACAGCAGUACUCGGAUACACUGAACUCUGAUACAGCAGUACUCGGAUACACUGAACUCUGAUACAGCACUACUCUGAUACACUGAACUCUGAUACAGCAGUACUCUGAUACACUGAACUCUGAUACAGCAGUACUCGGAUACACUGAACUCUGAUACAGCAGUACUCGGAUACACUGAACUCUGAUACAGCAGUACUCGGAUACACUGAACUCUGAUACAGCAGUACUCUGAUACACCGAACUCUGAUACAGCAGUACUCUGAUACACUGAACUCUGAUACAGCAGUACUCUGAUACACCGAACUCUGAUACAGCAGUACUCGGAUACACUGAACUCUGAUACAGCAGUACUCUGAUACACCGAACUCUGAUACAGCAGUACUCGGAUACACUGAACUCUGAUACAGCAGUACUCUGAUACACUGAACUCUGAUACAGCAGUACUCUGAUACACUGAACUCUGAUACAGCAGUACUCGGAUACACUGAACUCUGAUACAGCAGUACUCGGAUACACUGAACUCUGAUACAGCAGUACUCGGAUACACUGAACUCUGAUACAGCAGUACUCUGAUACACUGAACUCUGAUACAGCAGUACUCUGAUACACUGAACUCUGAUACAGCAGUACUCGGAUACACUGAACUCUGAUACAGCAGUACUCGGAUACACUGAACUCUGAUACAGCAGUACUCGGAUACACUGAACUCUGAUACAGCAGUACUCGGAUACACUGAACUCUGAUACAGCAGUACUCGGAUACACUGAACUCUGAUACAGCAGUACUCGGAUACACUGAACUCUGAUACAGCAGUACUCGGAUACACUGAACUCUGAUACAGCAGUACUCUGAUACACUGAACUCUGAUACAGUUCUUCAGUACAGAGCCAUCUCUAGCCUCUCUGACUUGGUUGUCUGUGUCUGCAGGACCUCAGAUUGUACCUGCCCCCCAGCCUUGAGCAGCCCACCUAGAGGGUGGAGUCUUCUGACCUUGGUGGAGUCUAUUGUAUGCCGCAUCUGCAGCUUCCUGUAAGAAGCCACUACUUGCUGAGCAGCUGAGUUUUCCUUCCAGAUGAGAUUCUGGCAAAGUAGGGGAUAGGCUCCCCACCCCCGCCCUUUAAAUUCAGACCUUAGAAUUAAAACAUUGAGCCUUGAUCAGAGAA